rnacentral:rRNA from 1 species
AGCGCGGCAUGCUGGUGUGCUCGGCACAUGCUAGUCGUGCGAGAAAAGGGUUGGACUUCUCUGAGUAAAGCGGCGAACGGGUGAGUAACACGUAGGUAACCUGUCCUCGAGCCCGGGAUAACCUGUCGAAAGACGGGCUAAUACUGGAUAUGACUACAGGAGCAUAAGCUCCAGUGGCAAAAGGUGGCCUCUGCUUGCAAGCUAUCACUAGGGGAGGGGCCUGCGGGCCAUUAGCUAGUUGGUGAGGUAAUGGCUCACCAAGGCGAAGAUGGCUAGCUGGUCUGAGAGGAUGGCCAGCCACACUGGGACUGAAACACGGCCCAGACUCCUACGGGAGGCAGCAGUGAGGAAUAUUGCGCAAUGGGCGAAAGCCUGACGCAGCGACGCCGCGUGGGUGAUGAAGGCCUUCGGGUCGUAAAGCCCUGUCAGGGGGGACGAAACCGCCCCGACCUAAUACGUCGGGGACCUGACGGUACCCUCAAAGGAAGCACCGGCUAACUCCGUGCCAGCAGCCGCGGUAAUACGGAGGGUGCAAGCGUUGUUCGGAAUCACUGGGCGUAAAGCGCGUGUAGGCGGUCUGGCAAGUCUGGCGUGAAAGCCCGGGGCUCACCCCCGGAAGGGCACUGGAAACUACCAGGCUAGAGUACCGGAGAGGAGGGUGGAAUUCCCGGUGUAGCGGUGAAAUGCGUAGAUAUCGGGAGGAACACCGGUGGCGGAGGCGGCUUUCUGGACAUUUGCUGACACUGAAAUGCGAGAGCUAGGGGAGCAAACAGGAUUAGAUACCCUGGUAGUCCUAGCCGUAAACGAUGUGCACUAGGUGUCUGGCCCUCUGGGCUAGGUGCCGCAGUUUACACUUUAAGUGCACCACCUGGGAGUACGGUCGCAAGACUG